rnacentral:lncRNA from 1 species
CUCCAUUGUUCCCAGGACUGUGCCUAGGAAGCAGGUCCCUGGGGCCAGGAGCCUGCAAGGUGGCAGGGCUGGUCUUCUGUACCACUGUCCAGCCUGGGAGGAAAGGCUGGCAGGCAAGGACCUCCAGAACCGGCUUGCUUCCUGCUGGCAUAAAAGGACAAUGGCAGAAGGGGUGCGGGAUUGUGGCUGGUGGCUGAGGGGCAAGGAGGGGCCAACACCCUGCCCGGAGGUGACACCGUGGACACGGGGCUUGGGCUCUCAGGGGUCAGGGACCAGGGUUUUAUUCACCGUGGAAGGGCAUAAUUACAAAACUUAGUUGAACAACCUCAUUUGGCUUGUAUUGCUGUUCUAGGAUUAGGUAAUGCUCCAUUCCAUAAAACAACAGCUGCUCUGGUGGGAUGAGCAGGAGAGUUGGGUCUGUCCAGACUGAAGGGCUGGAAAAGCAGAAUGAAAACAGAUCAUCCUCCAAAUGGCUUUCCUUGGAAGGGGACAGAGAGGGACAGCAGUGAGAAGACAGCUGCCUGGUUCACAUCAGAUGGCUUUAGGGUGCUUUGACUUAGGGUUAAAGGGUACAGGGCUAAGGCAGGGAACUUCGCUGAGUUUAGGGACCUGUUUGGGAAACUUGGCUCGUGAUUUCUAAGAAGGUCUGAUAAGGAGUUAGUUUCACUUUGGUAACGUGGGACUCUGCAGGGUGAGUCGGCUGUGAUCUGCCUGGUGGGGCCCCUGGUGCAGAACGGCAGUAGCUAUGGUUUUGCUGCAUUCUGAGUUCACCCCACACCCACUAAGUUCCUGAGGGGUAGGACCACGGUUUGGAGAAGAGUGGGCACCACAGGAGGUGGUGAAGUCUACCAAGUGUCAAGGAGGUAUGCUAGGAGCCGUGGAGCACAUCCCAGGAGGGCCGGGAGCAGGGCAGGCAGGGGUGAGUCACAUGAGCAGAGGGCAACAGGGCAGAGGCUGGCGGCAUGUUUGAGAAAUGGAGCGGCUGUGUGCCACGUGGGGCCUCAGGGAUGAAGACGGCCCCUGGGUGUCCUGGUCACAUUCCUCAUUGCUGGGAUGGAAUACCUGACACGUGCAGCUGAAAGGAGGAGAGGUUUAUUCUGGUUCACAGCUCAGAAGUUUCAGUCUGUAGUCAGUGGCUCAGUCACAGAGGUGAUGUGGCAGAAGGCCCGGCACAGGGAAGCCACUCACCAGUUAGACCAGUGAUGGCGAACCUUUUAGAGCUUUCAAUAAACAGCCCACUGUAGCAUGCAUGCCAUAGGUUCACCACCACUGAGUUUGAUGGAGGGCAACAACACCCUGAGGGGGGCUUCCCCACACUUAACUGAAUGUACCAAACAAACAACCUCUCUUUGAGAUGUUGAAAGAUAGAACCCGGUGAGAGCUUUAGGAGGUGAUCAAGGGUCUGUCAUCAGGAGUGGAUUAAUCCAUGCAUGGGUUCCUGGCCUCCCUCGAGGGUGCGUCUGCUAUAAAAGCCCAGCUGUAAGAGUGCUUCCUUAUUGUUUGUGGCACAGUGCCCUGUGUGGCUUGGGCUGCGCCAGUGCAAAGGCUGUCACCAGAUGCAGCCCCUUGACCUUGGCCCAGAAUCAUGAGCUGGCAUAAACCACUCUUCUCUAUAAUUUGCCCAGUCCGUCGUAUUAUGUUAUUAGCAACCGACAAUGUGUUAUGAAAUACACCUUGAAGAGCCAGCAGACAAAAAGACAACCGUUAAAUGCAAACAUGAUUAUAAAAAACAAUCAUCCCAGAGCAAGGCAGGAAAGGAAGAAAAGAGAAACAAGAUCAAAGGUCAAAUAGAAAACAAAUAGCAAGAGGGCCAACUCUGAAUCAUGUUCUCAAUUAUGGUCUGUUUUCUUCAUACAUUGAUGAACCAAUCAGGAAGAGGAUUAUACAAUCUUUGUCCAUAAUACAUUGCCCUGUGAAUUAGGAAAUCAGAAAACCUGUGGAUCUCAGGACAAAGGAAUCAUGUACCAUGCUUGCACAUGGACUAUGAUCAAACAGUAGGUUAACAAACUGUAAGCCCCAUGUUCUGGCUGAUUCCAUGAAGGGUGGCAGAGGCCAAUUCUAGUCCAGUUGCAGUCCCCUCCUGAGGACCCUGCUUAAGGGUGUCACCCCAGGGAAAGUUUAAUUAUCAUAAGAUGUUUAGCGUUACUAUAGGUUAGUGCCCACUCUGCUAUGUGCUGUAAUAGAUUCCUAGGCACAAUUAUUAUUUGGUUUGUGUUUAUUGAUUUAAAACUCUUUCUAGAAAUGAAUCUCCUGAGACUCUUACCCUUAUCCACGGCUCAGCUUACCUGUCCUGCCCUGGGCCUCUGGGAGAGAGAUGGCUCUCCCCCGUACCUCCAUACCUGUAUCUCCUUCUUGCUGCCUUUAGCUGGCACACACACUUAGGGACUGGCCUUGGGGACAUGAGUACCCCUCACUACUGACUAGGAGUCAACUGAAAGCAGGGUUUAUGUCUGAGCCAUCUUUGGGGUUCCCAGUACACCUGGCAUAAGGAGAUGCUCAGAAACUCAUGGAACGAAGCCUCAUGGCCCUGAAGCUUGGGGUCUGUGUCAUGUUAGGUGGAACCAACUGGUAGGAAAGUGACCAGGAGGGACAGCUGUCAUCCUGUGCUCUCCGCAUAGACCUGCAGGUUGGGGUUGGGGCCUGUGGUGUAUUAAUGGACUCUCUUGGCAGAGAGCUCUUUGAUUUGGGUUGGUGUGUGGCCGACAGGCAGGGAAGCAGGGCACUGCUCAAUGACAGUUGAUGUCAGUGCCCAGGGUUGCAACACAGAUGCUGUUGACAUUUUAAUGACGAGAACCCUCUUCUUAACCUCGAUGGAGAACAACAAACUAUGAGUCUGCUCCCCCAAGAUUGUGAGACCCCAUAUCUGUUGGGGCAGGAACAACUCUCCUUUCUGCUCUUGAUUCUCAGUUCUCUUUUCCAAAUUCAGAAGUUUGUUUUCACUUAGAAAACAAGGAAAGAAGGAGAAGGAGAGGAGGGGAAACAAACGUGGAAAAUUUCAUUGUUGACUUUGACCUUUUCUGUUUGCCAGGGAAAGAAAACAGGUUUCUCAAACUCUCUGGCACUUUUAGAUUUUAAGUAUUUUAUUUUUCAUCUUCCUGCCAACAUAAGUUUCCUCCUGGGGCUGAGUCCAUUAAUUUAUAUUAAGAAAUAGCCAGAGGUUUACAUAUUUUAAAGCAAAUGUAGGAAAUCUCUUUUUUUCCAAAUGAAAUCCUGCAGUGUUAACUAUGGAAAUGGUUCACAUAUCCUCAAAUUCCACUGCCAGCCCGAGUACUGUUAUUUUCUUAAAUUGCCGAAGAACAGAAUCCAGACCACCUUUUGUGGACUCGAGACAUGCACCCUUUGAUCAUGGGUCUCUCCCUCCCCAAAUCUCUCUGUCCUUUCCCAGCAGAUGCACCUGUCCCAGCACCCCUGCUGGGCUGGUCACCCCAGAAAAGCCCCUCAUCCCACACGGAGUCUAGCAAGGCAGGACCACUCCUCCACCCAUCGCCAAACAGCUCUAGGAGUUAAGACACUGUUCGAAGGCCAGUGGGACACAAGUGGAAGGGGAUUGCAUUGCAAGAGAGAGGGCAGACAGCAUGAGAGGUGGCCUUUGGGCAUUCAUCCCUCAGCCUGAGGCCUGCUGGCCUCUGUCCCUGGUCAGCAUCACAUUGCCAGGGUGGGAACCACCUUCCCUGUCCUCACUUGGAGCAGCCCAGCCCCUCGGGGCCUCAGUCUCUACCCCAGAGGGACCUUAUCUUAGUGUAGAGUAGCCAGGAGCCAGGGAGGGUCCCCCUUUCCACCCCAGCCCCCUCCCCCCAAGGCGGGCUUUCUUCACACCCUCAUCCCUCCUCACCACAGCCUCGCUGCCCAUGGCUCAUUCCCUAUGCGCUGAAACAGGGAGCUGCUCUGCGUCGUGGGAGUCUCCCGAUGCCCUGCUCCGUCCCCCAGAACACCAGCCAUCCCUUGCACAUCGUGUCCACACUGCACCCCUACCCUCCCAUUAGGGAUGGCCAUGGAGCCACCUAGGUCAUCAGAUCAGUGCUGCACAGUAUCCGGUGUGUGUUCAUGAGAUCCUCAUGUGCUCAGCAAAGGCCCCAGAGGCUGAGAGGGGCAAGGCGGGAAACUCAGGGUGCCAGAGAGAAGCUGCCAAGGGUUUCCUUUCAGUGAAAAGACAGAUGUUCUCAAUCCCAAGUUUCUGUGCUUUUUAUGGAUUACUUUUCAAGGGGUGUUAUACAGGUGUGGUUUUUUUUCUUGUUUUGUUUGGUUUGGUUAUUUGAGACAAGGUCUUGCUAUGUAGUUCAGGCUGGCCUUGAACUCACAGCAGUCCUCCUGUCUCAGCCUCCUGAGUGCUGGGAUUACAGGUGUGCACCACUGCACCUGGCAGGACUUUAAACAUUUAUGUUUCAAAUUGAUUUGUAGAAAUAAAUUUAUCAGGGCCAGGGAUGUAGCUCAGUGGUGUUGUACCUGCAUGGCAAGUGCAAGGUCCUGAGUUCAACUUCUGGUACUAAAUAAAUAAAUAAAUUUAUCAAAGAAAAUAUAGUACAUAUGCACAGUGGUAUAGUAUUCAGCCAUAAAGAAUGGAAUUCCGUCACUGGCAGCAAGUUGGAUAGAACUGGAGGACGCUGUGUCAAGACAGACCCAGAGGCACACCUGAAAAAGUCAACCUGAGUGUGGACUAGCGAUUGCUUGGGGCUGUGGUGGGUUGAGGUGCAAGAAGCGGGCUGGGUUUGCUCCAUGCACGCUGUAGGCGUGCGAGGAAACAGCAGGCGGAACCCUAUCGGUAUGUCCGAUUAGCCUGCCCUAACCGAGAGAGAUGGUACUGACACAUCAACGAUGACAAGAGGGCAGGGGUGAAAGGAAAGAAGAAGACAGAGAAAAGUUCAUACUUGUUCCUGCUGCUUUCAAACCCUGAGCUUGAGAGAGGUGUUCAGGGCUUGGUAGUGGAGGGGCCAUGGGGCCUGUAGUCGGGGCCAAGCCAGAGGGGAAAUGUCGAAACUUUUCCAUUUAAAUCAAGUACAGCAUCACUGUUUUUUGUUGUUGCUUUGGUGGAGCUGGGGAUGGAACCCAGGACACUGCACAUGCUGGGCCAGCACUCUACUGCUGAGCCACAUCCCCAGCCCAGUUUUUUGAAAGCAGAGAUUAUUAAAGUCCCCCCUUUUUUCUUUAAAAAAGAGGACUAUGUUUACAGGCUUGAAUGAGGCUCUAGGACAAAGAAGAAAGCACUUUUUACACUGAAGUGUUUGCAGUUUUUAUUUGAUACAUAAAGUGAAAAAAUACGUACAUUCAAGAAGGGGUUAAAUAAAUCCACAUAUUGUAGAAAACUGUCAAUAUUUGGAUGUAUAACCUUAGUCUCCUUUCUAAAUAUCUUGAGAUCCUAUGAAUGACAGAAAUCUUUGCAGAUUAUGGUUUCAACCAGUGUACCAUUUGUUGUAUUUUGUCCUUCUGAAUUCUCAGAAUGAGUAUAUUUGUAUUUAGUUGAGAGAUGCAGACAAUUAUAUUAUUUAUUGGAAAGAUAAGUAUCAUAAAAUUACUUUCAAGAUAAUUUAUCUUGCUGCUCUCUUCUUUAGCGAAGGUGGUUUUGUUCUUAUUAAGAAACCUAAUAACACAUUUCUCUCCAUUGUACGGGGGUCAAAAGUCAGGGGAACAGAAAAUCAGGCAGAUGUAGAAGGUGGUGGCAAGUCAUGGGCUCUUGUUAUCCAGUGUUCUCUGGCAUCGCAGGCUCACACACCAGCCCACAGCAGCCAGGAAGCCCUGGCUGGCACCUGAUGCAGGACUUCUCCCCUGGCUCCUCCAAUGGAGCUUGGAAUGACAAGAUGAGCUUUGCCUCUUCUCCAAAGUCUCCCUAAACAAAGAGUAAGUAGAAAUAGCAGCUUUUGGGCCGGGGAUUUAGCUCAGUGGUUCCGCUGCCUGCCUCGAAAAUGCAAGGAUCCGAGUUUGAUCCCCGG